UCGCGGAUCCUAACCGGGUCAAAACAAAAAAACGGGUCAAUCCAAUUUCACUCUCCCAUUCACGCUCUCUCUCUUUCUCUUUCUCUCUCUCUGCGCGACGGAAACCCUAAUCUCUCGUUCUCUGGAGAGCGUCCUUCAUCUCACAACAAUCAAUCAGGCAAAUUCAAAAAUUGGACCUUAUAGGAGAAAAAUUGUGAUAGAGAAUAGGGAAGAUAUAUAUACUCUUUUCUCUCAAGAUCGUGCUGACGGGCAAGGUGCAAAAACACAUCAAGCAGGAUGAUCAAAACAUGAUGAAUAUGGUGCAGAUUAUGGACUGGGGGCAGUUAAGUAUGAAUGCAUUCAUACAUACUUUCAUGGAGCAGUCAAUAUUUGUAAGUUAAAGAUAAAGAGGAAUCAAGUUGGGCUUCUCAAUGUCUAAGGCUAAGAUGGACAUUUUGUGGAUAUGUUUAACACAUACUUACACACCAUUAGCAAUUUGUAAUUUUCUGUUUAUUUUCCAACUAUUCUCCAACUAAGAAGAAAAAACAAAGUUGGAAGUUUUAUCAAACAUGUGUGAAUGCUUUGUAUGUAGUUUACUCCACAUAUUCUGGUUUAAUUAUAGAAGUUUCAGUUUGUUUGCUGGUCAA